CUGUCAUUUUCAGCCACAGCAAGUUCUUGCGAAAAAGGGUCUUCGGCUUCCCAUUUUGACGGGAUAGAGGCAUAUUUUGGUGAACCACACAAAUGGUGAGAAGAGGUAGAAAGAGAGAGGGGACAGCAACUGGAAGGAGAUGGAAGUCCAGACACUCUGCCACUGUGUGCCAUUGAACAAGAAAUCUCUCUUUGGAUUAGGGGGUCAAGCUAGUAUGAAGAUUGUUCAAGAGUCAAGACUGUUGAAUACAUGACGUCAUGGACCUGGUUGCACCUGGCAAGGGAACUAUAUGACUUCACUGAAGUAUUC